GGAAAAAAAGAGAACGCUGUUUAAACAGAAACUAAAUGCAUACUUGCAAAAAUAUCAUGUUCAAGGAUAUAAUUUUCAAUUUGUGGGGUAAUAGAUUCUUGAUUCAAUGAUAAAUCUGACGUCCAUUCUCAGGUCAAAAAGGAAUUUUUUCCUAGUUUGUUGCAAAAGCAUAAGUGCUUCAAACUGGUUUUUUUGGGGGGGAUCAACAUCAAAAACAGAUGUGAGAAAGUCUG